GACGAACGCUGGCGGCGUGCCUAAUACAUGCAAGUUGAGCGCUGAAGGUUGGUACUUGUACCCACUGGAUGAGCAGCGAACGGGUGAGUAACGCGUGGGGAAUCUGCCUUUGAGCGGGGGACAACAUUUGGAAACGAAUGCUAAUACCGCAUAAAAACUUUAAACACAAGUUUUAAGUUUGAAAGAUGCAAUUGCAUCACUCAAAGAUGAUCCCGCGUUGUAUUAGCUAGUUGGUGAGGUAAAGGCUCACCAAGGCGAUGAUACAUAGCCGACCUGAGAGGGUGAUCGGCCACAUUGGGACUGAGACACGGCCCAAACUCCUACGGGAGGCAGCAGUAGGGAAUCUUCGGCAAUGGACGAAAGUCUGACCGAGCAACGCCGCGUGAGUGAAGAAGGUUUUCGGAUCGUAAAACUCGGUUGGUAGAGAAGAACGUUGGUGAGAGUGGAAAGCUCAUCAAGUGACGGUAACUACCCAGAAAGGGACGGCUAACUACGUG
rnacentral:rRNA from 1 species